GAUGAACGCUGGCGGCGUGCCUAACACAUGCAAGUCGAACGAGGCCCUUCGUAUUCGUACUUAGGUGUCCUAGUGGCGAACGGGUGAGUAUCACGUUGGUGACCUGCCCCGAAGAGAGGGAUAACCCCGGGAAACUGGGGCUAAUACCUCAUGUGUUCCGAGGAGUUAGAGGUCCUUGGAAGAAAUGGAGCAAUUCGCUUCGGGAGGGGCCUGCGGCCCAUCAGCUAGUUGGUAGGGUAAUGGCCUACCAAGGCGACGACGGGUAGGGGACCUGAGAGGGUGGUCCCCCACACUGGAACUGAAACAUGGUCCAGACACCUACGGGUGGCAGCAGUGGGGAAUAUUGCACAAUGGGCGAAAGCCUGAUGCAGCAACGCCGCGUGCGCGAUGAAGGCCUUCGGGUUGUAAAGCGCUUUUCUGGGGGAAGAGAGAGGACUGUACCCCAGGAAUAAGUCUCGGCUAACUACGUG
rnacentral:rRNA from 1 species